rnacentral:rRNA from 1 species
UACGUAGGGGGCAAGCGUUGUCCGGAUUCAUUGGGCGUAAAGAGCGUGUAGGCGGCCAGGUAGGUCGGUUGUGAAAACUGGAGGCUCAACCUUCAGAGGUCGACCGAAACCAUCUGGCUAGAGUCCGGGAGAGGAGAGUGGAAUUCCUGGUGUAGCGGUGAAAUGCGUAGAGAUCGGGAGGAACACCGGCGGCGAAGGCGGCUGCCUGGACCAGUCCUGACGCUGAGGCGCGAAAGCUAGGGGAGCAAACAGG